UCUGUGUGUGUGUGAGGCUUUCUGAAUAGUGUGAACUCCAUUGCAUGGUCACUGGAGCCCAGGUAGCUUCCAGUUUUGAUGCUGCCAAUAGGCUCACCAAUGUUGUAGAUGUCAGAGGGGUACGAGGCCCCUAACAGAAUGAAACCUGCAAUCUUAAUGCCUCCUGUAGCUGGAGGAAGAAGGCUCCAUCAACUGGCUCCACUGUAUCCGCUAUAGGCUGCCUGAUCAAAAGUGUUUUUAUAUGUUAUUUCUAGCUUAAUUCACUUAAUGUAUUACCAAAAAAACCUGUAUUCUCAUUAUAACAGUAGGAUCUUUUUAAUUGCAUUCAUACAAUACUAAUGCUAACAUAGAGCAAGUUGAGAACUAUACCUUCUCCUUGCUUGAGUUUGCCCCUAUGUGCCUAUCUUGUUUCAGGCAAUGCUUUCUACUUCUCUUUGC